UACGAAGGGGGCUAGCGUUGCUCGGAAUCACUGGGCGUAAAGCGCACGUAGGCGGCUUCUUAAGUCAGGGGUGAAAUCCUGGAGCUCAACUCCAGAACUGCCUUUGAUACUGGGAGGCUCGAGUCCGGAAGAGGUGAGUGGAACUGCGAGUGUAGAGGUGAAAUUCGUAGAUAUUCGCAAGAACACCAGUGGCGAAGGCGGCUCACUGGUCCGGUACUGACGCUGAGGCGCGAAAGCGUGGGGAGCAAACAGG
rnacentral:rRNA from 1 species